UAGGGAAUCUUCGGCAAUGGGGGCAACCCUGACCGAGCAACGCCGCGUGAGUGAAGAAGGUUUUCGGAUCGUAAAGCUCUGUUGUAAGAGAAGAACGUGUGUGAGAGUGGAAAGUUCACACAGUGACGGUAACUUACCAGAAAGGGACGGCUAACUACGUGCCAGCAGCCGCGGUAAUACGUAGGUCCCGAUCGUUGUCCGGAUUUAUUGGGCGUAAAGCGAGCGCAGGCGGUUUAAUAAGUCUGACGUUAAAGGCAGUGGCUUAACCAUUGUUCGCUUUGGCAACUGUUAUACUUGAGUGCAGAAGGGGAGAGUGGAAUUCCAUGUGUAGCGGUGAAAUGCGUAGAUAUAUGGAGGAACACCGGUGGAGAAAGCGGCUCUCUGGUCUGUAACUGACGCUGAGGCUCGAAAGCGUGGGGAGCAAACAGG
rnacentral:rRNA from 1 species